CUACAAAUAAGACAAUUUACAUAAAGUCAUAUUGCCCUCUAGUGUGUGAGUGACACACUUACAUGACUCCCACUUAAAUAUGCAGCUUCACAGCUAAGUUAUAACUGAUUUUCAACUUUAUUUUAAGCUGAAACAAUCCAUUGGGUUAUGUAAGGCUGACUACGUCUUGCUGGGUUUCAUUUAAAUUUCUGUAACAGCAAUUAGUUAAAAAAAAAUGUUGAUACUUGCAGGUGCAGCAAAGGCCCUACCUGCAAAGCAGCUCCCUCCUUGUCCCGAAAUGACCGUCCUGGCUUAUCUUCACAUCACUUACUGGCACAUAAAGCAGAGGCAAUAAGUCCAUGCACAUGCAUGCGUGUCCCUGAUGCACGAGAGCGCAGUGAGCAUCCCUGCAGCUUUGACAGCUUUACUUGGCUGCGACUGGAUGGGUUUACUUAAUAGUUGGACCAAAAAGUGUUACCUAGUAGCAGGCGCUCACGCACACUUCCCCAAACUCGCGACUGAAUGCAUUAGCUGCUCUGCUUCAUCCCUCUGUGAGCCCGCCUCCGUUCCCCAGUCCCCAUCCGUGAUUACUCCGUGCUCGGCUUACAAAGGACGCGAUCACACAUGACAGCCUCCAUUUAAAUGGGGAGUGGAAGGGACACAGAACUACAUGUGAAGGAUGUGGGAUAACCUUACCUUUCCCUUUGUGUACAGGUCCUCCACAUUAGCCCCGGAUGUGUGUUCCUUCAUUGUCACCUGUAAAACGACCAAGAGACGGUGCUGAUGGACAUCUCGGUCCAAAACCACACCUUUGAAAAGAAGACUGAUGAGUCAGAUGAGCUUUUUGACUAACUAUGUGAGACGAAAGAAUAGCCAUGUAAUCAGGGAGGAGGGCAGACACCAAAAUCAUCUCAACACAAUCCUCGGGAGUCCCAAACGAAAAUGUCCACAACCUGCCAAGAUCUCUGAAUUCUCUGGGAUGCUGCAGUGCUGCUGUCACACGCGAGAAAAGACAUGUGCACCUGCAUCAUUUCUACAUUAUAUUGCUGUCAACCCACUUGAUGAUCCAGUUUGCCCAUCCUUUGAAUAAGAUGACAUUAUUUGCUGCUUCAGAUUAAAGCAUUAUUUAAGGGGGAUCAGACCAACACUGUUCUUUGUUUUUUCAAUCAACAUUUACCUCAUUUUUCUUUUUAGCAUGAAAAUAUUUCUGAGGAUCUAAAAUUCAUCAUAUGGCUUCUUUUAUCAAAAAGUAGUGUAUAUACAGUAAGUGUACUACAAAUAUACUAAAUCUAUACUAUAAGUGAGGCAGAAUACUUGAAGUUUACUUUUUAUCAGUGGUGAAGCUAGAACCUUUUAAAUGAAUGUUGGAAGGGGGCAGCAGACUUUAAAAGGGUGUCAGAUCAGGCCAUGUUAUUUCAAUUUAAUUAAAUGUUAUGUUAAUUUGAUGUCACUUUCAUUUUAAUUGUUACUUUUCCUAUCCUUAAAGAAGCUUGUGUUUAUGAUCUCUUAAUAUUUCUCAAUAAUGAACUUAUAUUGGCUCAAAAAUGGGAAGGGGCGCAUCUGGUUUUGGGUGGGGGGAAGGCUGCCCCCACCCCCUUGCCCCCUGUUGCUCCGUCUCUGCUUUCUGUAUAUUAUCUGUAGAUUUAAAACUUAAAAUGUUCCAAUUUAGUCUGAAGAAAUUUUCAGUUAGUAUACUUUCUACACUAAAUGUACAUUUCUAUAGUACACUUAGUAUACCUAAACUGAAUUAUACUUAAAAUAAACUUGAAGUGUACUACUUUUUUGCAAAGGGUUGUCAGGGUCUCUGAAAAAUACUCUAAUUUGAAACUCUUGGUGAUUUGAACACUUUUUUUAGAAUUCAAAAAUGUCUUAAAAGGAAUGUAACACGAAACAUGUACUUCACAAAACAUGCAAUUUGCUUUCUUUUAAAUCUUUAUAUUUAUCUAUAUUGAUAGAGAUUUUUGUACCAUUUGGUCAAUAAGUCCUCCAGGCGUCUGCCUUUGCAUUUUUUAGGUUUGUGAGCUACUUAAACGUUCCUGGCAUGGAGUUAGUCAAGUUUGAGCUCAUCUAGAACAGUCUAAAUGUGAAGCGGCUGCACUUACCCUGAAAAAAGAUGAUCUUCAGUUUCUUUAAGCAGAGAUCUUCUGUCCUGCCGGGCCCCUCACUUUACCAGUCCAACCCCCUAAAAUCAAACACUCACUGUGAAACACUUGGAUUGAGGUUAGAAUAAAUGAUCUUCAUGGAUUCAAGGGAAAAAGGCUUGGCCGAUUGUUGAUACGUUUCCCGAAAAAGCUCCCGCAUGAGGAUCUUUGCUCUUUCUGAUGAAGAAGUCAGCAAUGUUCAGAGUUUCUGAUGCUGCGCUCUGGUACGCAGGGAUGCAGGCUGUGAGGCCAUAUGGUGCACUUAACAAGAGGAUGAAGAGGGAGCAGCAAGCAAAAAUAAAAAAAAGGAUUUAUGACUAAGCUUUCACCCGUUCACAAUACUGUUUAUCCAACCAAACUGUCUAAAUUGGG
rnacentral:lncRNA from 1 species